GCGGCUGUAGCUCAACUGGAUAGAGCGUCUGGCUACGGACCAGAAGGUUAGGGGUUCAAAUCCCUUCAGCCGUACCA
rnacentral:tRNA from 1 species